GAUGAAUGAUAGUUUCUUUUUCUAGUUAACUUGGUUCUGUCGUCACUGGAGUUGAUAUAUUCUUCUGAAGCAUGUUCUUGUGCUGAUGAGAGAAGGGCUGGUUGGUUAGUGCAAAGUACCUAAUUUUACUUUACUAGGUGGCCUAUUUGUUGGAUCACAUUUACUUUGUAGGUUUGUAUCCAUCACAUCUGCUAAAAAAAAGCUGUUGCAUUAAUUAGCGAAUAAAUAUGUUUCAAAUUUCAGUGAC
rnacentral:misc_RNA from 1 species